rnacentral:lncRNA from 1 species
UUCUUGUCCUUGGACAUAUUUGUCUCGCUGCUUCUACCACUCCCCGGUCCUAUGUCUUUCGGGUGAAAGCCCUACCUAUGGAGGACGGUGGUGGCACCCUUGACUUUGCUCUCUUCUUGAAGGCAUCGUCUUAGGGGAUCUAUGGUGGUUGGACAUCAUUGGGAUGGCAUUGGCAACGAUCUGGACGAAGUCACAUUUUAUAUAUUUAUAAUAAGAUUGUAAAAAUAUAUAUUAACA